AAUGGACGAAAGUCUGACGGAGCGACGCCGCGUGGAUGAUGAAGGCCGAAAGGUUGUAAAAUCCUUUUGUUGGGGAAGAAUAAGCAUGGGAGGUAAUGCCCGUGUGAUGACAUGAACCGACGAAUAAGCCCCGGCUAACUACGUGCCAGCAGCCGCGGUAACACGUAGGGGGCGAGCGUUGUUCGGAAUUACUGGGCGUAAAGGGCAUGUAGGCGGCUCUGUAUGCUUGGCGUGAAAGUCAUCGGCUCAACCGAUGGAUUGCGUCGAGAACAGCAGGGCUUGAAUCACGGAGAGGGAGCUAGAAUUCCAGGUGUAGGGGUGAAAUCUGUAGAUAUCUGGAAGAAUACCAGUGGCGAAGGCGAGCUUCUGGCCGAUGAUUGACGCUGAGGUGCGAAAGUGUGGGGAUCAAA
rnacentral:rRNA from 1 species